GUGGCAGACGGGUGAGUAACAUGUAGGUAUCUGCCCUUUGGCCUGGAAUAACACGAGGAAACUUGUGCUAAUACCGGAUAAGUCUUUACGGAGAAAGCUUUAUGCACCAUUGGAUGAGCCUGCACUUGAUUAGUUUGUUGGUGGGGUAAUGGCCUACCAAGACUGUGAUCAAUAGCUGAUUUGAGAGGAUGAUCAGCCACAUUGGGACUGAGACACGGCCCAAACUCCUACGGGAGGCAGCAGUGGGGAAUCUUGCACAAUGGAGGAAACUCUGAUGCAGCGAUGCCGCGUGAGUGAAGAAGGCCCUUGGGUUGUAAAGCUCUUUCGUCGGGGAAGAAAAUGACUGUACCCGAAUAAGAAGGUCCGGCUAACUUCGUGCCAGCAGCCGCGGUAAUACGAAGGGACCUAGCGUAGUUCGGAAUUACUGGGCUUAAAGAGUUCGUAGGUGGUUGAAAAAGUUAGUGGUGAAAUCCCAGAGCUUAACUCUGGAACUGCCAUUAAAACUUUUCAGCUAGAGUAUGAUAGAGGAAAGCAGAAUUUCUAGUGUAGAGGUGAAAUUCGUAGAUAUUAGAAAGAAUACCAAUUGCGAAGGCAGCUUUCUGGAUCAUUACUGACACUGAGGAACGAAAGCAUGGGUAGCGAAGAGGAUUAGAUACCCUCGUAGUCCAUGCCGUAAACGAUGUGUGUUAGACGUUGGAAAUUUAUUUUCAGUGUCGCAGCGAAAGCGAUAAA
rnacentral:rRNA from 1 species